rnacentral:rRNA from 1 species
UGCAGUCGAGCGGUAGGCCCUUCGGGGUACACGAGCGGCGAACGGGUGAGUAACACGUGAGCAACCUGCCCCUGACUCCGGGAUAAGCGGUGGAAACGCCGUCUAAUACCGGAUACGACCCGCCACCUCAUGGUGGAGGGUGGAAAGUUUUAUCGGUCAGGGAUGGGCUCGCGGCCUAUCAGCUUGUUGGUGGGGUAACGGCCUACCAAGGCGAUUACGGGUAGCCGGCCUGAGAGGGCGACCGGCCACACUGGGACUGAGACACGGCCCAGACUCCUGCGGGAGGCAGCAGUGGGGAAUAUUGCACAAUGGGCGAAAGCCUGAUGCAGCGACGCCGCGUGGGGGAUGACGGCCUUCGGGUUGUAAACCUCUUUUACCACCAACGCAGGCUCCACGUUCUCGUGGGGUUGACGGUAGGUGGGGAAUAAGGACCGGCUAACUACGUGCCAGCAGCCGCGGUAAUACGUAGGGUCCGAGCGUUGUCCGGAAUUAUUGGGCGUAAAGAGCUCGUAGGCGGCAUGUCGCGUCUGCUGUGAAAGACCGGGGCUUAACUCCGGUUCUGCAGUGGAUACGGGCAUGCUAGAGGUAGGUAGGGGAGACUGGAAUUCCUGGUGUAGCGGUGAAAUGCGCAGAUAUCAGGAGGAACACCGGUGGCGAAGGCGGGUCUCUGGGCCUUACCUGACGCUGAGGAGCGAAAGCA